CGAACGGGUGAGUAACGCGUGAGGAACCUGCCUCAAAGAGGGGGACAACAGUUGGAAACGACUGCUAAUACCGCAUAAGCCCACGGCUCGGCAUCGAGCAGGGGGAAAAGGAGUAAUCCGCUUUGAGAUGGCCUCGCGUCCGAUUAGCUAGUUGGUGAGGUAAUGGCCCACCAAGGCGACGAUCGGUAGCCGGACUGAGAGGUUGAACGGCCACAUUGGGACUGAGACACGGCCCAG
rnacentral:rRNA from 1 species